AGAGUUUGAUCAUGGCUCAGGACGAACGCUGGCGGCGUGCUUAACACAUGCAAGUCGAACGGAAAGUGCUCUUCGGAGUGACCCGAGUGGCGAACGGGUGAGUAACACGUGGGUGAUCUGCCCUGCACUUUGGGAUAAGCCUGGGAAACUGGGUCUAAUACCGAAUACACCCUGCUGGUCGCAUGGCCUGGUGGGGGAAAGCUUUUGCGGUGUGGGAUGGGCCCGCGGCCUAUCAGCUUGUUGGUGGGGUGAUGGCCUACCAAGGCGACGACGGGUAGCCGGCCUGAGAGGGUGUCCGGCCACACUGGGACUGAGAUACGGCCCAGACUCCUACGGGAGGCAGCAGUGGGGAAUAUUGCACAAUGGGCGCAAGCCUGAUGCAGCGACGCCGCGUGAGGGAUGACGGCCUUCGGGUUGUAAACCUCUUUCAAUAGGGACGAAGCGCGAGUGACGGUACCUAUAGAAGAAGCACCGGCCAACUACGUGCCAGCAGCCGCGGUAAUACGUAGGGUGCGAGCGUUGUCCGGAAUUACUGGGCGUAAAGAGCUCGUAGGUGGUUUGUCGCGUUGUUCGUGAAAACUCACAGCUUAACUGUGGGCGUGCGGGCGAUACGGGCAGACUGGAGUACUGCAGGGGAGACUGGAAUUCCUGGUGUAGCGGUGGAAUGCGCGAUAUCAGGAGGAACACCGGUGGCGAAGGCGGGUCUCUGGGCAGUAACUGACGCUGAGGAGCGAAAGCGUGGGGAGCGAACAGGAUUAGAUACCCUAGUAGUCC
rnacentral:rRNA from 1 species